GCCAGUGUGGCGUAGUGGGUUGAGCGUUUGACUACGACUCUGGAGAACAGGGUUCGAAUCCCUGCUGAGCCA
rnacentral:tRNA from 1 species